rnacentral:rRNA from 3 species
UUAAGCGACUAAGCGUACACGGUGGAUGCCCUGGCAGUCAGAGGCGAUGAAGGACGUGCUAAUCUGCGAUAAGCGUCGGUAAGGUGAUAUGAACCGUUAUAACCGGCGAUUUCCGAAUGGGGAAACCCAGUGUGAUUCGUCACACUAUCAUUAACUGAAUCCAUAGGUUAAUGAGGCGAACCGGGGGAACUGAAACAUCUAAGUACCCCGAGGAAAAGAAAUCAACCGAGAUUCCCCCAGUAGCGGCGAGCGAACGGGGAGCAGCCCAGAGCCUGAAUCAGUGUGUGUGUUAGUGGAAGCGUCUGGAAAGGCGCGCGAUACAGGGUGACAGCCCCGUACACAAAAAUGCACAUGCUGUGAGCUCGAUGAGUAGGGCGGGACACGUGGUAUCCUGUCUGAAUAUGGGGGGACCAUCCUCCAAGGCUAAAUACUCCUGACUGACCGAUAGUGAACCAGUACCGUGAGGGAAAGGCGAAAAGAACCCCGGCGAGGGGAGUGAAAAAGAACCUGAAACCGUGUACGUACAAGCAGUGGGAGCACGCUUAGGCGUGUGACUGCGUACCUUUUGUAUAAUGGGUCAGCGACUUAUAUUCUGUAGCAAGGUUAACCGAAUAGGGGAGCCGAAGGGAAACCGAGUCUUAACUGGGCGUUAAGUUGCAGGGUAUAGACCCGAAACCCGGUGAUCUAGCCAUGGGCAGGUUGAAGGUUGGGUAACACUAACUGGAGGACCGAACCGACUAAUGUUGAAAAAUUAGCGGAUGACUUGUGGCUGGGGGUGAAAGGCCAAUCAAACCGGGAGAUAGCUGGUUCUCCCCGAAAGCUAUUUAGGUAGCGCCUCGUGAAUUCAUCUCCGGGGGUAGAGCACUGUUUCGGCAAGGGGGUCAUCCCGACUUACCAACCCGAUGCAAACUGCGAAUACCGGAGAAUGUUAUCACGGGAGACACACGGCGGGUGCUAACGUCCGUCGUGAAGAGGGAAACAACCCAGACCGCCAGCUAAGGUCCCAAAGUCAUGGUUAAGUGGGAAACGAUGUGGGAAGGCCCAGACAGCCAGGAUGUUGGCUUAGAAGCAGCCAUCAUUUAAAGAAAGCGUAAUAGCUCACUGGUCGAGUCGGCCUGCGCGGAAGAUGUAACGGGGCUAAACCAUGCACCGAAGCUGCGGCAGCGACGCUUAUGCGUUGUUGGGUAGGGGAGCGUUCUGUAAGCCUGCGAAGGUGUGCUGUGAGGCAUGCUGGAGGUAUCAGAAGUGCGAAUGCUGACAUAAGUAACGAUAAAGCGGGUGAAAAGCCCGCUCGCCGGAAGACCAAGGGUUCCUGUCCAACGUUAAUCGGGGCAGGGUGAGUCGACCCCUAAGGCGAGGCCGAAAGGCGUAGUCGAUGGGAAACAGGUUAAUAUUCCUGUACUUGGUGUUACUGCGAAGGGGGGACGGAGAAGGCUAUGUUGGCCGGGCGACGGUUGUCCCGGUUUAAGCGUGUAGGCUGGUUUUCCAGGCAAAUCCGGAAAAUCAAGGCUGAGGCGUGAUGACGAGGCACUACGGUGCUGAAGCAACAAAUGCCCUGCUUCCAGGAAAAGCCUCUAAGCAUCAGGUAACAUCAAAUCGUACCCCAAACCGACACAGGUGGUCAGGUAGAGAAUACCAAGGCGCUUGAGAGAACUCGGGUGAAGGAACUAGGCAAAAUGGUGCCGUAACUUCGGGAGAAGGCACGCUGAUAUGUAGGUGAAGUCCCUCGCGGAUGGAGCUGAAAUCAGUCGAAGAUACCAGCUGGCUGCAACUGUUUAUUAAAAACACAGCACUGUGCAAACACGAAAGUGGACGUAUACGGUGUGACGCCUGCCCGGUGCCGGAAGGUUAAUUGAUGGGGUUAGCGCAAGCGAAGCUCUUGAUCGAAGCCCCGGUAAACGGCGGCCGUAACUAUAACGGUCCUAAGGUAGCGAAAUUCCUUGUCGGGUAAGUUCCGACCUGCACGAAUGGCGUAAUGAUGGCCAGGCUGUCUCCACCCGAGACUCAGUGAAAUUGAACUCGCUGUGAAGAUGCAGUGUACCCGCGGCAAGACGGAAAGACCCCGUGAACCUUUACUAUAGCUUGACACUGAACAUUGAGCCUUGAUGUGUAGGAUAGGUGGGAGGCUUUGAAGUGUGGACGCCAGUCUGCAUGGAGCCGACCUUGAAAUACCACCCUUUAAUGUUUGAUGUUCUAACGUUGACCCGUAAUCCGGGUUGCGGACAGUGUCUGGUGGGUAGUUUGACUGGGGCGGUCUCCUCCUAAAGAGUAACGGAGGAGCACGAAGGUUGGCUAAUCCUGGUCGGACAUCAGGAGGUUAGUGCAAUGGCAUAAGCCAGCUUGACUGCGAGCGUGACGGCGCGAGCAGGUGCGAAAGCAGGUCAUAGUGAUCCGGUGGUUCUGAAUGGAAGGGCCAUCGCUCAACGGAUAAAAGGUACUCCGGGGAUAACAGGCUGAUACCGCCCAAGAGUUCAUAUCGACGGCGGUGUUUGGCACCUCGAUGUCGGCUCAUCACAUCCUGGGGCUGAAGUAGGUCCCAAGGGUAUGGCUGUUCGCCAUUUAAAGUGGUACGCGAGCUGGGUUUAGAACGUCGUGAGACAGUUCGGUCCCUAUCUGCCGUGGGCGCUGGAGAACUGAGGGGGGCUGCUCCUAGUACGAGAGGACCGGAGUGGACGCAUCACUGGUGUUCGGGUUGUCAUGCCAAUGGCACUGCCCGGUAGCUAAAUGCGGAAGAGAUAAGUGCUGAAAGCAUCUAAGCACGAAACUUGCCCCGAGAUGAGUUCUCCCUGACUCCUUGAGAGUCCUGAAGGAACGUUGAAGACGACGACGUUGAUAGGCCGGGUGUGUAAGCGCAGCGAUGCGUUGAGCUAACCGGUACUAAUGAACCGUGAGGCUUAACCUU